rnacentral:rRNA from 1 species
GAUGAACGCUGGCGGCGUGCCUAAUACAUGCAAGUCGAGCGAACGGACGAGAAGCUUGCUUCUCUGAUGUUAGCGGCGGACGGGUGAGUAACACGUGGAUAACCUACCUAUAAGACUGGGAUAACUUCGGGAAACCGGAGCUAAUACCGGAUAAUAUUUUGAACCGCAUGGUUCAAAAGUGAAAGACGGUCUUGCUGUCACUUAUAGAUGGAUCCGCGCUGCAUUAGCUAGUUGGUAAGGUAACGGCUUACCAAGGCAACGAUGCAUAGCCGACCUGGGGGGGUGGGUGGGCCACCUGGAACCUGGACCCGCGCCCGGGCCCUGAGGGAGGGCAGCAGUGGGUAAUCUCCGGAAAGGGGGGAAAGCUUGCCGAAGCACCGCCCGGGGGAUGAGGAAGGGCUGCGGGUGGUAAAACUCUUUUUUUGGGGAAAACCGAUUUUGUAAGUAACGGUGCACUUCUGAAGGGAACCUAUAAAGAAGCCCCGGCCAACUUCGUG